AAUUAUAUAUUUAAUUUUUUUUUAUUAUUUAAAAAAUAAUAAAAUUAGUUUAAUUUAAUUUUUAAAAAUAUUAUAAUAUAUUAAUAAAAAUAUUUUUUAUGAGUUUUAGUAAAUAAAAAUAAAAUAAUAAUUUAAAUUUUAUAUAUUAAAGUAAAGAGAUUGAAAAUUGAAAUAUAAGUGAAAAAUAAAAUUACAGUAAAGAAAAAUUAAUUUUUUGUUCCUUGUGUAUCAGGAUUAAUUAAUUUAAAUGUUUUAAAUAAAAUUAAUUUAUAAUUUAAUGAAAAUUAAAAAUUUUUUAGUUUUAUUGUAUAAAAAAUAUUAAAAAAAAAUUUUUAAAAAUUAAAAGUUAAUUGUUCUUAAAGUUAUAUAAUUUUUAAAGAAAUAAAUUUAAUUUAAAAAUAAUUUUUUAUUAUUUUUAUAAUUUUGUGUUAUAAUAAUAAUUUUGGAUUAUGUUAAUAUUUUAAGGGUUGAGCUUUAAAAUAAAAAAUUAAAAAUAAAUUUUAUUUUUUAUAUAAAAAAUAAAUUAAAAUAAAAAUAAUCUUAAAAAUAGAUAGUUUAAAUUAAAAUGUUUUAAUUAAUUUUUAAUUUUUUAUUAUUUAUUUCUAAUUUUAAUUUUUUAUUUAAAAAAUUAUUUAAAUUUAAAAAAUAAUUAUAAAAUAAUUAAAUUAGUAAAUUUAAAUGGUUGUAUAAUACAAUUUGAAAUAAUAAUUUUUUAUAUAAUGAAUUCGGCAAUAUUAUUUUUGUCUGUUUAACAAAAACAUUGUUUUUUAAAUUUUUUUAAAAAAUAAAACCUGCACACUGAAUAUAAUUUUUAAAGAGCCGCGGUAUUUUGACCGUGCAAAGGUAGCAUAAUCAUUAGUUUUUUAAUUGAAGACUGGAAUGAAAGGUUUAAUAAAAAAUAAUCUUUAUUAUAUAAAUUUAAAUUGAAUUUAUUAUUUUAGUAAAAAAGCUAAAAUUUUAAUAAAAGACGAUAAGACCCUAUAAAGCUUUAUAAUUUUUUAUUAAAAAUUAUUAUAGAAUAGUAAAAUUUUUAAAUAAAAGUUUUAUUAAAUUGGGGUGAUUUAAAGAUUUAAUUAACUCUUUAUUUUAAAAAUCAUUAAUAAAUGAUUAAUAAUUUGAUCUUUAUUAUUUGGAUUAAAAAAUUAAGUUACUUUAGGGAUAACAGCGUAAUUUUUUUAAAGAGUUCAUAUCGAUAAAAAAGUUUGCGACCUCGAUGUUGGAUUAAGAUAAAUAUUUAGGUGUAGAAGUUUAAAUUUUUAGUCUGUUCGACUAAUUUUUCUUACAUGAUCUGAGUUCAAACCGGUUUAAGCCAGGUUGGUUUCUAUCUUUAUACAAUAAUUAUAUUAUAGUACGAAAGGACCUAAUAUAAAAAUUUAAAUUUUUGUUUAAGAAAUAAAAAAUUGAGAUAAAAAUUUAUUAUUAUUUAUAUAUUAUUUAUAAUUAAUUUAUUUAAUAAGUUAUAAU
rnacentral:rRNA from 1 species